UACGGAGGGGGCUAGCGUUGUUCGGAAUUACUGGGCGUAAAGCGCACGUAGGCGGAUUGUUAAGUCGGGGGUGAAAUCCCGGGGCUCAACCCCGGAACUGCCUUCGAUACUGGCGAUCUUGAGGUCGGGAGAGGUGAGUGGAAUGGCGAGUGUAGAGGUGAAAUUCGUAGAUAUUCGCCGGAACACCAGUGGCGAAGGCGGCUCACUGGCCCGAUACUGACGCUGAGGUGAGAAAGCGUGGGGAGCAAACAGG
rnacentral:rRNA from 1 species